UACGUAGGUGGCAAGCGUUUGUCCGGAAUUACUGGGCGUAAAGCGUGCGCAGGCGGUUCGUUGUGUCGGCGGUGAAAGCCCCGGGCUUAACCUGGGAAUGGCCGUUGAAACUGGCGAACUGGAGUGUGGCAGAGGGGGGUGGAAUUCCGCGUGUAGCAGUGAAAUGCGUAGAGAUGCGGAGGAACACCGAUGGCGAAGGCAGCCCCCUGGGCUAACACUGACGCUCAGGCACGAAAGCGUGGGGAGCAAACAGG
rnacentral:rRNA from 1 species